rnacentral:rRNA from 1 species
AUACUAUUGCGCGGUUACCGCGGCUGCUGGCACGGAGUUAGCCGGUGCUUCUUCUGUGAGUGAUGUCCUUCCUGCCGGCUAUUAACCCGCAGGCCUUCUUCCUCACUGAAAGUGCUUUACAACCCGAAGGCCUUCUUCACACACGCGGCAUGGCUGGAUCAGGGUUGCCCCCAUUGUCCAAUAUUCCCCACUGCUGCCUCCCGUAGGAGUCUGGGCCGUGUCUCAGUCCCAGUGUGGCUGAUCAUCCUCUCAGACCAGCUACGGAUCGUCGCCUUGGUGAGCCGUUACCUCACCAACCAGCUAAUCCGACAUAGGCUCAUCCGAUAGCGCGAGGCCCGAAGGUCCCCCGCUUUCCCCCGUAGGGCGUAUGCGGUAUUAGCCUGGGUUUCCCCAGGUUACUCCCCACUACCGGGCAGAUUCCUAUGCAUUACUCACCCGUCCGCCGCUCGCCACCAGGGAGCAAGCUCCCCGUGCUGCCGCUCGACUUGCAUGUGUUAGGCCUGCCGCCAGCGUUCAAU